rnacentral:lncRNA from 1 species
AUGGCUUGUAACGUGGUUGGGCUAAGAAGAACACUGGUUUUUCUGGAUCACAAAAUCCUUGAGUAAGAGAGUCAUUCAUAAAUUUCUCAUUCAAGCACAAACUCUCUAUAAACAAACCAAUCUCACUCAUUCCCAACUUUCCCCUUUUUGCAUUAAGCUUCUCUUUCUUUUCAUUCUAUUUUCUUUUCUUUUUCCUUUUCAUUAUUGCUCAAUACUUAGCUCAAUGCUUAUCUUCUUUCUUUUUCUUCUUCAAAUUACCCAACAACCCCAAACUUGAACCUUUAUCAAUACCAUAC